rnacentral:misc_RNA from 1 species
GAUGAAGAACGUAGCGAAAUGCGAUAAGUAAUGUGAAUUGCAGAAUUCAGUGAAUCAUCGAAUCUUUGAACGCACCUUGCGCCCUUUGGCUAUUCUGAAGGGCAUGCCUGUUUGAGUAUCAUGAACACCUCAACUCUCAUGGUUCGCCAUGAUGAGCUUGGACUUUGGGGGUCUUGCUGGCCUACGGUCGGCUCCUCUCAAAUGAAUCAGCUUGCCAGUGUUUGGUAGAGUCGCAGGUGUGAUAACUAUCUACGCUUGUGGUUUUCUGCCAGAUAACCUUCAGUGAUGGAGGUUCGCUGGAGCUUAUAAAUGUCUCUCCCCAGUGAGGACAGCUUUUUGAACGUUUGAUCUCAAAUCAGGUAGGACUACCCGCUGAACUUAAGCAUAUCAAAAGCGGAGGA